rnacentral:rRNA from 1 species
AGUUUGAUCAUGGCUCAGGACGAACGCUGGCGGCGUGCCUAACACAUGCAAGUCGAACGGAGGUAGCAAUACCUCAGUGGCGAACGGGUGCGUAACACGUGAAGAACUUGUCCAUCGGCGGGGGAUAGCCGGCCCAACGGCCGGGUAAUACCGCGUACGUCGGCGAGACCGCAUGGUUUUGCCGGGAAAGCAGCAAUGCACCGAUGGAGAGCUUCGCGGCCUAUCAGCUAGUUGGCGGGGUAAUGGCCCACCAAGGCGACGACGGGUAGCUGGUCUGAGAGGAUGACCAGCCACAUUGGGACUGAGACACGGCCCAGACUCCUACGGGAGGCAGCAGUGGGGAAUAUUGCGCAAUGGGCGAAAGCCUGACGCAGCGACGCCGCGUGUGGGAUGACGGCCUUCGGGUUGUAAACCACUGUCGCGAGGGACGAAAAAAAUGACGGUACCUCGAAAGGAAGCACCG